rnacentral:ribozyme from 11 species
GUAAGGAAAGCAAGAAAGACAAAAAAAAAGAAACGAAGCCGAUCCGCUUUCGACCCAUACAUCGGCUUUUUCUUUCGAUCAGCCGUUAAUUGCCUCUCUUUUCUAGUCUUUCUUCAGUAGAUCACGCAUUCAUUCUUCAUCUUCAAAAGUCAAAGGAAAGAAGGACUAAAUGACUGAAGUAAAAUUGUACAAAUAAUU